ACAAAUUAUCCAAAAGAUGAGAAAUUAUGGUUUAGGAGUCAUACAGCUGGCGGUUACAAGAGUCUGGAGUCUGACCCACCUCAAAUUGCUCCUUGGCAUAACAUCACUAUUGUAAAGCCUAAGGUCAGUGCUUGAGAUAUUUUGCAGACUCUAAACAUGAUGGAUCAUCUGGCACCACCCACAUUGAUAAACUAGCUCAUCUGGUCUUGUGGCCCUCACCCAGGAACUGACUCAGCACAAGAAGACAGCUUCCACUCCCUAUGACUUCAUCUCUGACCCAACCAAUCAGCACUCCCGACUCACUGGCCCCACGACCCAGCAAAUUAUCCUUAAAAGCUCUGAUCCUUGAGUGCUCCAGGAAACUGAUUUGAGAAAGAAUAAAACUCCAGUCUCCUGCACAGUCACCUCUGCAUGAAUUACUCUUUCUCUAUUGCAAUUUCCUUGUUUUGACAAUUCAGUUUUGUCUAGGCCGUGGGCGAGGUGAACCUGUUGGGUGGCUACAGUUCCCUUCUUUCUGAGGCAAAUUCUGGAGAGGGACUCAGCUGUGAGCCCAGCCAUGAGCCUUCGGCCACAGUCAACACCACUGCAGCUGGAGCUGGGGAAAGGUGAACGUCUAUGGCCAGAAGGGAGAGCUGAGUGGCACCCAUGAUCAGUGGCCAUGUUAUAAACUCUAAAGUACAACAUAUCUAUAAAAAUGUGAGUACACACUUGUCAAAUAUGAUACUAUGAUAGUUUAUCCAAGUUAUAUCUGUUUUAUCUUUUCUUCAAAAAGGUGAUUUUUAUGUUUAAUAGUGCAGUCUUUUUUUCAAGGCCGUGUUUUGCUUUUAGAUGACCCAGCACCCAUGAUCAGUGGCCAUGUCAUCUAAACAGGGGAAGGACUUCAGAGGCCCAGAAACAAGAGAUCGACUGACUCUGGAGAGAGAACUGGAGGUAAGGGAGAGACAGAGUGAUCAGAGAAGACAGAUCUGGCUCUGAAAGCAUAAAGGGGUUUCAGAGACCUUUGAUCCAAUCUCACAACCCUACAUGGGACUCUGUCCAAAACCAGGAAAAAAAAAUGCAGUCUCUGUUGUGUUGAGUGACCCUCUUCCCUGGAGGAUGGAAUAUACUUCCUUAUUGUCAACCAACACUAGCCUUCCUAUGACUCAGAGUUUUUCCCACCUUACCAAACUGUGCCAUUUUCACUCUGACACCCACCAACUCCCACUAGACAAAAAGAUUUGUGCAUUUUCUUUUUUGUAAGUUGCUCUGCAACUUUUUCCAACUACACACAUUGUCUCCUGCCACCUUUCCCAAACUGUUGUUGAGGUUCAUUGCUCAGGAGCACCAGAAAACAUGCCUCCCUUCCUCUACAUGGCAGCUUUUCAAAUGCUUGCAGACACUUUUUCUGUCCUCCCUAAAUCUUCUUUUCUCCAGGCCAAAAUCCUCAGGACUAGAAAAACUCUUCCUGCCCUGCUAUACAAUUCAAUUAUACUAGGAGAUUCCUUGAUUGUCUUCCUGUGACAUUGUUUCAAACAUUUAUUCAAUCAUCGUAUAUUUAUUAAUCAGGUUCCUGAUGUUAUGGGAUCUUUGGGGUGUUGCUUCUCUGGCUGGAAAAAAGUGCUAGUGGCACUUUUGCCAAAGUUCUUUUCCCGUGUCCAGGAAGAAUGAGGUAUGCAGACAAGUGGAGGGCGAACAAGACAAAGAGGAGCUUUAUUGAGCAUUACAACAGCUCAGGGGAAACCUGCAGUAGGGUAGUCUUCUCUGCAGCAGGUCAACCUGAUGAGUAUUCAGCUCUCAGCAGAGAAGGUAGCUCCUCUCUGCAGCUGCUUAUCCUGUUGUCUACAGCUCUCAGCAGAAAGGAGGCCCUGGAGAGGGUAGCUCCUUUCUGCAGCUGGUCAACCUGACAUCUCCUGCUUUCAGCAGAGGGGAGGCCCUGAAGAGGAUAGCUCCUCUCUGCAGCUAGUCAUCCUGACGUCUCGCCUGCUCUGGCUGAGUCCAGGGUUUUUAUGGUCUUCAAAACCAUGCUGAUUGGUCCCGUGGGCAGCCAUGGCCAGGCCCCAGAAAAAGCACCAAGAGAUCCCCCUCCAUUCCCCAGGACUGGCAGCCUGGCCUCCAGGCUUCACUGAAGCCUGAAGGUGGGGCUUCACUGAUGAUAUGGUUUGGCUGUGCCCCCACCCAAAUCUCAUCUUUUUUGUUUUUUUUUUAGAUGGAAUCUCGCUCUGUCGCUCAGGCUGGAGUGCAAUGGUACAAUCUUGGCUCACUGUAACCUCUUCCUCCAGGGUUCAAGCAAUUCUCCUGCCUCAGCCUCCUGAGUAGCUAGGAUUACAGGGACCUGCCACCUCACCCAGAUAAUUUUUUGUAUUUUUAUUAGAGACGGGGUUU
rnacentral:lncRNA from 1 species